GCCUUGAUGUGUAGGAUAGGUGGGAGGCUUUGAAGCGUGGACGCCAGUCUGCGUGGAGCCGACCUUGAAAUACCACCCUUUAAUGUUUGAUGUUCUAACGUGGAUCCGUAAUCCGGGUUGCGGACAGUGUCUGGUGGGUAGUUUGACUGGGGCGGUCUCCUCCUAAAGAGUAACGGAGGAGCACGAAGGUUGGCUAAUCCUGGUCGGACAUCAGGAGGUUAGUGCAAUGGCAUAAGCCAGCUUGACUGCGAGCGUGACGGCGCGAGCAGGUGCGAAAGCAGGUCAUAGUGAUCCGGUGGUUCUGAAUGGAAGGGCCAUCGCUCAACGGAUAAAAGGUACUCCGGGGAUAACAGGCUGAUACCGCCCAAGAGUUCAUAUCGACGGCGGUGUUUGGCACCUCGAUGUCGGCUCAUCACAUCCUGGGGCUGAAGUAGGUCCCAAGGGUAUGGCUGUUCGCCAUUUAAAGUGGUACGCGAGCUGGGUUUAGAACGUCGUGAGACAGUUCGGUCCCUAUCUGCCGUGGGCGCUGGAGAACUGAGGGGGGCUGCUCCUAGUACGAGAGGACCGGAGUGGACGCAUCACUGGUGUUCGGGUUGUCAUGCCAAUGGCACUGCCCGGUAGCUAAAUGCGGAAGAGAUAAGUGCUGAAAGCAUCUAAGCACGAAACUUGCCCCGA
rnacentral:rRNA from 1 species